CUGGCGUGCAACAAGGCUGAGGGUUGCCACCGGUGGCCCCUCUUGUGCUUCGGUUUGAGUGCCAUCGAGGGAGAGACAGAAGGGAAGGAAAAUCGAAACCUGCAGGUUCUCUCUCCUGCCCUGAAGUUUGAGCUCCCGGGACCCCUCUGUCCCAGUCCCAUUAACCAAGAGGCCGCAGAUCUAUAACAGGCUCUUACAGGGAGGACUGUUCUGCGGAGCGCUCCGAACGGACAAACCACAAUAAAAAGUUCACGUUCAUGGAUGGAAUCCACAUGACUUCUUGUGGCCAAUCCAACUUGAAGAGGACAACAUCCUUCCAGAUGGGGCAUCUGGGAAGCCCCCCAUUCCACCCCAGAUGGAAACGGGAGAGGCAGGCCACUGGAAGCCUCAUAACCAAGCCUGUCCUGGCCCUGGUCUGAAGAGCGGAGUGGGUUUAGACCGGUGCUGGGCAGUCCUGCGGAGGAAGCAGGAUGAAUGGGAAUGGGGGGCAGCCUCCAGAACCCCCAAAGCACCCCUCAUCUCCAGGUUCCUUUCUCAGAGAAAAUGACAUUUUCCCCCAAGACCAUCCCUAGUGUCAGGUCUCAAUUCCUAGGUUCAGAUGGCAGCCUACUCCUAAUCUGUUAAGAAUUAAAAAUAAAAUUAAGGGCCACGAUCUUGGUUCCCACUUCUU